CCUACCAUGGUUUUAACGGGUAACGGGGAAUUAGGGUUCGAUUCCGGAGAGGGAGCCUGAGAAACGGCUACCACAUCCAAGGAAGGCAGCAGGCGCGCAAAUUACCCAAUCCCGACACGGGGAGGUAGUGACAAUAAAUAACAAUAUGGGGCUCUUACGAGUCUCGUAAUUGGAAUGAGUACAAUUUAAAUCUCUUAAUGAGGAACAAUUGGAGGGCAAGUCUGGUGCCAGCAGCCGCGGUAAUUCCAGCUCCAAUAGCGUAUAUUAAAGUUGUUGCAGUUAAAAAGCUCGUAGUUGAAUUUCGGAAUCUGUCCGUCGGUCGGGCUUCACUGUCCGUACUGGUGUGAUGGGUUUCUACCUUCUGAAUAAUCGGCAUGUCAUUAAUUUGGUGCGCCGGGGAAGCAGAACUAUUACCUUGAAAAAAUUAGAGUGCUUAAAGCAGGCUAUCGCCUGAAUAGAUUAGCAUGGAAUAAUAAAAUAGGACGGCAUGGUUCUAUUUUGUUGGUUUCUAGGAUCACCGUGAUGAUUAAUAGGGAUAGUUGGGGGCAUUAGUAUUCAAUUGUCAGAGGUGAAAUUCUUGGAUUUAUUGAAGACUAACUUCUGCGAAAGCAUUUGCCAAGGAUGUUUUCAUUAAUCAAGAACGAAAGUUAGGGGAUCGAAGACGAUCAGAUACCGUCGUAGUCUUAACCAUAAACUAUGCCGACUAGGGAUCGGACGAUGUUAAUUUUUUAAUGACUCGUUCGGCGCCGUACGGGAAACC
rnacentral:rRNA from 1 species